GGUGAGAAUGGUAAAGCUGAUUCUGAUUCUGAAAAUCUUUCUGAUAUUGAUGAUGUGGAGGUUGACGGGUAUCUUCACAAUGAAGAAGAAACACAGAACAAAAAGAUUAUCUGGGAGGAAAUGAACAAAGAAUACCUAGAGGAACAAGCUGCAAAGGAAGCUUUAGCAGCUGAAUUGGCAGCUAGAGGUGUACCUGUUGGAGAGGGACGACAGAAGGUAUGGAAUGUUUCUAGUGUCGCUCAAGCGUCAUGUGUACACAUCUUUACUAUUUUUGGUAGAGUUCAUGAUUUGACAGGGAUGGUUUUUUAA
rnacentral:rRNA from 1 species